GAUCUAGAGCCGCGCUGCGGCCGUACAAAGUCGUACGCCCGUCAGCUAGUGGUUAAGCAUGUUAUUGACCAGUGUCUGCAUAUGCAGAGAUUGACGCCUUGUGAUAGGUGCGGUUUUUAUACAUGUAAUUAAUGGAUAAGGAUAAACAACAAAAAAUAAUAAAUGUACAGAAAAUGUAAAGACUUUUAAUGUAUGAAUGAAGACUGAAGUAUUUAUGAAUGAAGGCUGCAGUAUUUCAAUUCUCCACAAGAUGGUGAUCUUACUCCUGAGCGUGGAACGCAAAGAAGGAAGUGAUGUCAUGUACGGACAGGAAGUGAUGUAGGGUAAAAGACAGGAAGUUCCAGAGGAGAGGUGACUUGUUAGGAAAUAGCGUACAGACAUUACUGGAUCUUGAGAAUUAUAAAAUAGUGAAGGAAACAUCUGGAGAUCCAUAAACACCCAGCAGCCAUCUUCACAGGACAUCGCCCAUCACAGUGUCUUCACCUCACUGUCUGACAAUAGAGGUAACCAGUGCCAGGAAGAUUCUAGAAGUCACCAAGAAGAUCACCGAGCUGACAGGAGAGGUUCCUAUAAGGUGUCAGGAGGUCAUUGUCUAUUUCU